rnacentral:rRNA from 1 species
UCGUGUCGUGAUAUGUGGGGUAAGUCCCGCGAGGUGCGGAACCCCUGUGUCGUGUUGCCACCCGGCUGAGAGGCUGGAGCAGUCUGGACAGNCUGCCUCGCUUCAACGAGGAGGAAGGUGGGGAUGACGUCAAGUCAGUAUGGCCCUUACGACCAGGGCUGCACACGUACUACAAUGCCCGGCACAAAGGGGGGCAAGAUCNUAAUGUCGAGCAAAUCCCCAAAAACCGGGCCCAGUUCAGAUUGUCGUCUGCAACUCGACGGCAUGAAGCUGGAAUCGCUAGUAAUGGCGCAUCAGCUACGGCGCCGCGACCACGUUCCCAGGCCUUGUACACACCGCCCGUCACAUCAUGAAAGCCGUUUGUACCCGAAGUCGCCCCUUAAAAGGUGCCGAAGGUAUG